rnacentral:lncRNA from 1 species
UUUAAUCAGUUACUAUUUCGAAUAUAUUAAUGCAUCUAAUUGCUUCAUUUUCAUUGCAAUUUUUAAAUUAGUGUAUGAAUUUUAUUUGUUGCAACUCUAAUUGAAUUCCCAUUGAAGUUGUUGUAUUUUCAUGAAGUCUCAUUUAUUUUUUAUGAAACUGGAGCUGUGACUUAGCUAAGCUUAAAUGUGGUUUACCAAAAGUUAGUUAUGUAACAAACUCUGUUAGUUGUUAGUCAGUUCAAUUAAAUAGUUAGAAGACGUACAGCUGUCAGUAGAUGAUUAGUGUAGAAAUUGUAUAUAAGGAACAACUUGUAGUUAAUUCAUUCAUUCCUUUCAGUUCACGUAUUGUACAUUUCUCUCUCUUCUAGAUAUGAAGAUUCUCUCUUUUCUAUACUAGUCUUUCUUCUGUUCUUC